rnacentral:rRNA from 1 species
UUCGGCAGCCAUAUCACCCUGUAGCCCAAUACUGGUUGCCCACUGAAGCUAAGCAGGGCUGAGCCUGGUCAGUACCUGGAUGGGAGACCUCCUGGGAAAAACUUCACGAAGCUUCAAU